UGCCGGCACAACACACUUACUACACACAUGCACUCUCCCCGCGCUGCCAAUCGGUUGGGCUGGAAAAUAAAAUUAGCAUAAUGGCAAUAUAAUAAACAAAGGCAAGGGCUUCGUCAGCACUGCAAACCGCCAGUGAUCGCUGGCCGGCCAGGCCAGCCCAGCCAGAACUGCGGAACGGCAGGAUGGCAUCCGGAAGUGCGACUCUGGCAUCCCACCCACAUCUAAUUGGUAGGGUUCUCAGCGCACGGUUACCAACCCCAUGCGAAAGGCUCUACACGAGGCCAAACGGGCUGAAAUAACAACGCUUUCAUACCACGAACCUAGAAAAUAUAUUUUAAAUUCGGAAACAAAGCAUGGAGGGUUUAAGGCUAUACAAACUCAAGCACAUUUUCUCGGAUUUGCUAUGUAUAUGUCAAGUUAAAAGUGGCUACGACCUUCUUUCCCUAUGUUACCAGGAUUUUUUUAAAAAAGCCCAAAACUUAAAAAUCAUAUAAAAUCUUCAUAAAUGGCAGCAAAUUAAAAACGCGAAGAAUUCAAUGACAAGAAGCAAGAAUAAUGGUUUUUCAUCCAAAAUGAUUCAUUCAGUGUUGUAUUUUUGCGCAGUGCCCUUGCCAAAUGCGCGGGUGUUAACUGUUAAUGUGCAGUUGGUUAUUAUGCAGGACCGAAGCCAAAAAUCGUGUCAAUGCAUUGAACGCAGUUCUUUGGGUUGAUAACCUCCGCUGAAUGAACCGAGUGUGGAAGUCCAGCCCCCGCCCUCGUAUUUGUCGAUUCCGUUGACGAACUGGGUCACCAUGUGGCCGCCGAGUUGGCUGGCUGGCGGCAUUUGGGCCUUAUUGGGCCGGCCGGGUAGCGGGUGGCGGUGGCGGUGGCGACCAGCGAAACCGUUAAUAGAAAUGCAUUAAAAUCAAAGCGUUUUGGCGUUUGUUCCAAUUCUGGGAGCAUGCCGCACAUUAGUCCCGAGUAAUGGCCGCCUGCAAAUCACGCCACGAAUCGCAAUUUAUCAAGAAAACGUCACGUAAUUACCAGUCGACGCCAACUACGAGAUACAUUGACAGUUGUCGGAUACACGCGGCGCAGACUUCUUUCUUUCUGAAUUCCCAGCAGCUGUCUGCCUCCGCCGGCAGAUGCGUUUGAUUUGUGUGCUCCAUCCCGCCUCUCAGAACCGAAAGGCAGAACCCAAAACACAGAGCCCAACGCCCAGAGCCCAAAGCCAAAGCCAUUGCCUCGUCUUCCACAGAUUUUGUGGCUUCAUUGUGCUGUGUCUUAUUUUGUAUUCCAAUCACAAAGGCGUUGUCAAAGCGGCGACAACGGCGACGCCGAGCGCUGUUGCCAGUCCGCCAAGCGAAAACAGUUUCUGACACAAAGUGUAGGAGCCCCAGAAGCCAAGAACCGAUCGACUCGUCACUCUCCACAGAGUUUGCGACUCCGAAGUGGGCCCGGGGAGCCCGGAGGAAGUUCAGGAAUGGCAAAGCAGCUGCUCCUCCACUUGCGGAUGGGAGUGCUGCAUUAGAAAUUGCGCAGGCCUGUAGCUACCCAAAAACAUGAAGCCUCCCAUCUCAAUACUUUCAGAAAAGCCAAGAAACGACAAAAUCCCACAUGUAUUUAAAGGGAUUAUCAGUAACAUGACCUCUUAAAUUUUUCAAAUUGAUAGUCAUCAUUAGGCGUGUGUAAAAACCUUAAUGAGCCUUGCUGCCCAAGCGGCCUCUAUAAAUAGUUUCCCAAGAUGAACAUGCCGAAGAUAAAGCCGAUUGUUGCCAGAUGAAAGCCAAGUACCCAAAGGUUGUUCUCAGAAUUUGUACCUUGUUCGCCGGCAAACCGAAGAUUGGCGUUGGUAGCAGUAACACCCUCUGCGAAAUGCUAAAACCCAUUACACUUAUGCAACAUUUCGCAUUUCGUUGACUUUCGGUGGCAUGACAGGGCAGAAACGGGCGAUGAAAACAAGGGCUUUUGCCUGCUGCGUAUUUGUUCGCAUUACGGGGGGCUUACGCUAAACCUUUUCAAAUAUCUGCCGCUUAAUUGCCCAUUUAAAUUAAUAUAAAUUUCAAUUUAUGCACACGCACAGGCUGCCGCAAUGCAAAGCAUAAUGCGCAUACCACAUGUGGGCCGGCAACGCCUCCCCGGCGUUUCGGCGUUUCAGAGACGCGAAGCGUGAAAGAAAUGCUGGGAUAAAGAAAUGAAACACACACACACCAGAUCAGCGCUUAUAAUACGCAUCAAAACGAAAUAAAAUCGCAUUUUUUGUGAUUGAUUGAGGCAUGAGUAAUGAAAAAUUGAACGUGCAACAGACGCAGACGGGCGGCACGGUUAGCGAUAUGUGUUCCAUGUCUGUAUGACUCUGAUUUGUGCGCUACAUUACCUUUGAUUUCGAUUCAUAACAAAUCAGGCAGCAAUUUACCUAAGAGAAGCGAAAUAAUAAAUGGAAAUGGAUGCGAGAAGCGUGAAAAAUAUUUAAUAAAACUGAAUUAGCCCUGUGCACACAGCUGGAAAUCUCCGGGCAAAUUGCGAUGACGAUGAGAAGUCUCAGACUAAACAAAAGUUACGGGCCAUAUUAAAAUGUCAUCGUGUCAUUGGCUCAGGACGCUUGAAGGGUGUGGAGAAUCGGGAGUUGGGCACUGGGCCCUGGGCACUGGGAGCUGGUCGUCCGCGGUCCGAGUCCGAGGACCGGAGAACAAAGUCCGGGGACAGCAGCUAACGACGACAUGAUGAAGCGUAAACAAACAUGUCCAACUGGCAGACAGGCGGCGGACAAACGCUGGCCAAAAGUAAAACAAAAUGAAAUUUUAUUUUGCAUUGGAAACGAUUGCUGUGACUCACAUGCCUUGGAUUUUUAUUUGUGUUCGGAAUGUUUUGCGAAAGAGCCAGCAGCAUUUUGAGCCAGAGUCCAUUUGCUAAACGCCCCUUUCGCUCGCCCUUUGUUACGUCCCGGCCAACUAGGAGUAGUUUUAUUUUCGCCCGUUGUGUGUGAUUUUUGCCCUGCCCCGAAAAGUUGCAGCAGAGAAGCUGGCCCGAAAAACCGAAAACUCUCUGGGGGCACAGACACACGUGGCCUGACUUCCAGCUGCAUUCGGAGUCGCAAUCCGGACUCGCAGACGGGGAUGGAGUUCCAGGACCGGGUCCCAAGUAGAUGACCC